rnacentral:ncRNA from 2 species
AUAGGUACCAAAAUCCGAGUCAAAACAUCUAAAGCCAAGUGCCAUGAUUUUUGACCAAUGGGUAGAAUGGGAAACCGUGAUGCCUCCCGAUAUUUGGAAAGGAUUUGGAAUAAAUGUCAC